rnacentral:lncRNA from 1 species
UCCACUAAACCUAAACUCAUCCUUAUCAUAUUUGACUACAUAUCCUAUCUAUACCCCUACAUAGUUACAUGGAUGUACCUUCACAAAAUAUCAAUCAAUAAAUUUCUAUUUCAUUAACUUUUGAGGUAAAACCAAUAAAGGAGAAAAAGCCUAAAAUAAAGAGGACCAAAUGAAAAUACAAAUACAUAUAUUGAGACCCAAAAGAUUAGGCCCA